AACUGCAGUUCUUCGACCACUGCGCAAGAGAGCUGAAGGUCUUUUCCACGCCAUGAGAAGAUUCUCGGACAGGCGUCUAGAAAUACGUCUUUCCCGCAUCUGCCUUCCUGCGUCUUUUUGGUGGCGGUUACACGGCCCAUCCUGAAUGCUCUAACGGCGGGACUUUCGUGCACCUAGAUGCAGUACAGCAGUGCUAUUAGGCAGGACAGGUGUCGGCGAGCUUCCAGUUGUGUCUGUAGAUGUUCUUUCCUCUCCUGUUCUCCUCGGAUUUCCAACAGUGCGGGGUUCUUCCAGAUGCACGUCUCUCGGCGAUGCGGGGACAGAGGGAACAGCUUUACAGGAAAGUUGAGGGCGGUUGACAAUAGGAAUGAACCGUAGAGAUGAGGAGCAAAUACUCCGAUAGCCUGUUAAAGAACUGAUCCGCAGGGCGCCACCACAUCAGAUCAGCCACGUCAGAACGUCUGCACAGAACGGCAGGAAGACCGCUCGACAGGGGUUCGUGCUAGGAGGGCCGGGACGGGCGAGAUUGACAGGUUCGGUGCUUUACUUUCUUCCGAUUUCUGUCUUUUGUUCGUAGACACGUCUGUGUCUAGCUUCGCAAAGCGGCAGGAAGCGCAGGGGUCACCUGAUAAAACGCGGGAACCGCGCGAAAGCAGGUCCAUUGUGCCGGGAGCAGUAUUCCCACCACACACAUCCUCACGCGGUUAGAUGGAUAUGUGGGAAUGUGGAGCAGUCGGCGGAAAAACGGAACAAGACUGAGCCGCAAGGACUGGCAGAAGUUCUUGUUCGUUGUUGGUAGGAGCGAGGCGAGAAAGGUCGUAUCCUGAGACCAGUGAUCGAGGAAGCGGAACACUGUGUACGACCGUGGUGUAAGACAGAGCCGGGAAUGAAACGAUACGGAGACAAUCUCUCAGUAUUUAGUGGUGCCGCUGUUUUUGCCACGUAGCUAUCUGGGUGUCCAGUUUUCUGAGAUCUAAGGCAACUACUUCAACGUCUGUAAAUCUGCUCUAACAGCAUGUAGAACUGUUCCGCCUCGUUCAGGAACGAAAUGCGAAACGGGAUGCUUCCUAGAUACACCAUCAUGCGUGUGUGUGAUUCUUGCUAGACCUGGCCAGCACGGUCGCGUUUCUGAAUCGGUGAACUCCAGUUUUGCUGUCGUCCUGUGCUGUCAAAUCUGGUACAAGCACGUGUGUUGCUGGAGGAGUGGCAAUCUGAAUCAUGUCAGUUUCGAUAACUUCUUCGUCUUGAGGACGGUGUGCAUCCACAAACUGUCAUUCAUUUUUAUCAUCUCGGGUACCUGUGAGUGGCCCAUGUGGGAAACGUGAGUGACACGCACGUAUACCUGUGCACAACAGACGGUAAUCCACUGGUACUUGGCAACCUCUUUUCGUGAACCACUCUGUUCGCUGUUUGUUUUUUUCCUGAAGGAGUUAUCCGAGGGUAGUUUGGUCCCUCAUGUCUUGCAUGUUUCUCAGCUACUUCCUCGGAUUUCCUCCUUGCCUUCUUUUCCCUGCCAGUGUCCAUCCUCUACGGUGGAAGGAGACCCAGCACUCCCUGCGGCAGCGUCUCCCAGUGAACGUCAGUCAACACGUUUCACCCCUUGGACCUUGCGAGAUUGAUAGAGAUAUGCUACAAAAACCCUGUACAGAACAUCAGUCUUGUACACCACUUUCUGCAGAGUCAGAACGUUGACUCUUGGUGUUUUGCACAGUGCCCAAAUCUCAACCACAGGUGUGGACCGCAGGCAACCCGUCUGAAGACGUUACUCACCUCACCAAUUCGGAUUAUGUCAUCUUCCACCCCCUCUGCUCACGUUUUUCUCACGUGUGUUUCAUAAAGUAGGGCACGGACUGCCAGUCGUGGCGUACUUUCUCCCACUACCCUAGGACUUUCGCAGUUUCUGUGAAGUUGACAAGCGGGCCAACGGUAUUUUCGGCGAAAGCGCAAGUCUAUGGUCGGUCAAACGAGAUCUUUUAACCCUUUUCUCUGACGCGAAAACCCGGGGAAAACUCUUGGGAAAAUGUCAGAUCGACCGAGGAGAGGAAGCCCGCUUCCCCGGCGCCGCAAGUCUCACAGAGUCACCUGAAGCGCCUCGAGCCUUGCACUCCCUAGACCACUGUCUCGUCAGCACUUCCCCGUCAGGUGGACCGUACUGAUCCGUCCCCAAAGCGAGCACGUCUUGUUUGCGUAACCGUGGUGUCCUUUUCGUUGUGCUGUGUCGAGACCCGACAGGGGCUGUUUUCGUACACGCUGUCUUUGGUUAGCUAGCAAAAACGGUUCUGGAUUCCUGUCCCGUAGAGAGAGACAGUGGCGGCGUGCAGUGACGAGACUGACGCAGAAGGCAGCUUCACUGCGGAGAGACCGGAGCGUAUGCGCGGAGUUCAACCUCUCGAGCCCGGUGCGCGUUUUUGGGAACUCUUUGGUCCUGAGUCGUUUCGCAAAGCCGAAACAGAGGGUGUCAGUGCUGCUCACUGGCUAUCGAUAUGCUUGCGCCCGGUGACGGAACGGAGAGCGGAUUCCGCUUGACUGCUGACGCUUCAAAUGAUGAGCGCUGCUCCCCAAACGAUCCUGCACACCUCAGACGAGUUCCUUGUGCC
rnacentral:lncRNA from 1 species